rnacentral:lncRNA from 1 species
CACUCUACCAUAAAGGCCUGAUUUGGUAGAGUGCUGCAAAGAUGAUUGUCCUUCUGGAAGGUUCUCCCAUCUCCACAGAGGAACUCUGGCGCUCUGUCAGACUGACCAUCGGAUUCUUGGUCACCUCCCUGACCAAGGCCCUUCUCCCCCGAUUGCUCAGUUUGGCCUGGUUGACAGCUCUAAGAAGAGUCUUGGUGGUUCCACUGUGUUCUUGGGGACCUUCAACGCUGCAGAAAUGUUUUGUUACCCUUCUCCAGAUCUGUGCCUCGACACAAUUCUGUCUCGGAGCUCUACAGAUAAUUCCUUCGACCUCAUGGCUUGGUUUUUGCUCUGACAUGCACUGUCAACUGUGGGACUUUUAUAUAGACAGAAUAAGGCUGUAACUUAACGGAAAUGUGGAAAAAAUGAAGGGGUGUGAAUACUUUCCAAAUGCACUGUAAGUAUAUGUUGGGAGAAAGGGUUUUCGUGCCAAAUAAACUUGUCUUCCAGAUAACCCAUAAAUAGACAUGCAUGGUCAGGAGGUCAAAUGCAGCCCAUAGCCACACCAUGAUUUUGUAAAUAGUAUCAAAUAGUAACAAUAUAUAUACAUACAGUUGAAGUCUGAAUUUUACAUACACCUUAGCCAAAUACAUUUAAAAUAAAUUCCUGACAUUUAGUUCUAGUAAAAAUUCCCUGUCUUAGGUCAGUAAGGAUCACCACUUUAUUUUAAGAAUGUGAAAUGUCAGAAUAAUAGAGAGAAUUACUUAUUUCAGCUUUUAUUUAUUUCGUCACAUUCCCAGUGGGUCAGAAGUUUACAUACACUCAAUUAUUAUUUGGUAGCAUUGCCUUUAAAUUGUUUAACUUGGGUCAAAUAUUUUGGGUAGCCUUCCACAAGCUUCCCACAAUAAGUUGGAUGAAUUUUGGCAUAUUCCUCCUGACAGAGCUGGUGUAGCUGAGUCAGGUUUGUAGGCUUCCCUGCUCACACACGCUUUUUCAGUUCUGCCCACACAUUUUCUAUGGGAUUGAGGUCAGGGCUUUGUGAUGGCCACUCCAAUACCUUGACUUUGUUGUCCUUAAGCCAUUUUGCCACAACUUUGGAAGUAUGCUUGGGGUCAUUGUCCAUUUGGAAGACCCAUUUGCAACCAAGCUUUAACUUCUUGACUGAUGUCUUGAGAUGUUGCUUAAAUAUAUCCUCAUAAUUGUCCAUCCUCAUGAUUCCAUCUAUUUUGUGAAGUGCACCAGUCCCUCCUGCAGCAAAGCACCCCCACAACAUGAUGCUGCCACCCCGUGCUUCACGGUUGGGAUGGUGUUCUUCGGCUUGCAAGCAUCCCCCUUUUUCCUCCAAACAUAAUGAUGGUCAUUAUGGCCAAACAGUUCUAUUUUUGUUUCAUCAGACCAGAGGACAUUUCUCCAAAAAGUACGAUCUUUGUUCCCAUGAGCAGUUGCAAACCGUAGUCUGGCUUUUUUGUGGCAGUUUUGGAGCAGUGGCUUCUUCCUUGCUGUGCGGCCUUUCAGGUUGUGUUGUGGGCUAUACUCGGCCUUGUCUUAGGACGGUAAGUUGGUGGUUGGAGACAUCCCUCUAGUGGUGUGGGGGCUGUGCUUUGGCAAAGUGGGUGGGGUUAUAUCCUGCCUGUUUGGCCCUGUCCGGGGGUAUCAGCGGAUGGGGCCACAGUGUCUUCUGAUCCCUCCUG